GAAUGUAAGGGCGAUCUGGCUGCAACAUCUGUCACCCCACUGAUUGCCAGAGUUGAUUCGGAUGAUCUGGCUGACUAAGCGGGUGCCCCCUUCAUCCCUCACUCCUCCAUGUGCGAACCUUCCGAAGCUGCAGGCUUGGUAAAAGAGGAUGACUUUCCCCAAUAGAGUCAGACAGGUCUUCAGUAGAGGAUAUGCGAGUAGCUGCGCUCCCCUGCUAGAACCUCCAAACAAGCUCUCAAGAGUAUGCCUAGGGGUGUGGGCAGUGGCACACCUGGUAGAGUGCACAUGUUACCAUGUACAAGGACACGGGUUCAUACACCAGCUGACUACCUGUAGGU
rnacentral:snRNA from 1 species